CCUACGGGGGGCUGCAGUGGGGAAUAUUGGACAAUGGGGGCAACCCUGAUCCAGCCAUGCCGCGUGUGUGAAGAAGGCCCUCGGGUUGUAAAGCACUUUCAGUGAGGAAGAACGCCUGGUGGUUAAUACCCAUCAGGAAAGACAUCACUCACAGAAGAAGCACCGGCUAACUCCGUGCCAGCAGCCGCGGUAAUACGGAGGGUGCGAGCGUUAAUCGGAAUUACUGGGCGUAAAGCGCGCGUAGGUGGCUUGAUAAGCCGGUUGUGAAAGCCCCGGGCUCAACCUGGGGACGGCAUCCGGAACUGUCAAGCUAGAGUGCAGGAGAGGAAGGUAGAAUUCCCGGUGUAGCGGUGAAAUGCGUAGAGAUCGGGAGGAAUACCAGUGGCGAAGGCGGCCUUCUGGACUGACACUGACACUGAGGUGCGAAAGCGUGGGUAGCAAACAGGAUUAGAUACCCGUGUAGUC
rnacentral:rRNA from 1 species